rnacentral:rRNA from 1 species
GGCGGUUUGUCGCGUCUGCUGUGAAAACCCGAGGCUCAACCUCGGGCCUGCAGUGGGUACGGGCAGACUAGAGUGCGGUAGGGGAGAUUGGAAUUCCUGGUGUAGCGGUGGAAUGCGCAGAUAUCAGGAGGAACACCAAUGGCGAAGGCAGAUCUCUGGGCCGUAACUGACGCUGAGGAGCGAAAGCAUGGGGAGCGAACAGGAUUAGAUACCCUGGUAGUCCAUGCCGUAAACGUUGGGAACUAGAUGUGGGGACCAUUCCACGGUCUCCGUGUCGCAGCUAACGCAUUAAGUUCCCCGCCUGGGGAGUACGGCCGCAAGGCUAAAACUCAAAGGAAUUGACGGGGGCCCGCACAAGCGGCGGAGCAUGCGGAUUAAUUCGAUGCAACGCGAAGAACCUUACCAAGGCUUGACAUAUAGAGGAAACGUCUGGAAACAGUCGCCCCGCAAGGUCUCUAUACAGGUGGUGCAUGGUUGUCGUCAGCUCGUGUCGUGAGAUGUUGGGUUAAGUCCCGCAACGAGCGCAACCCUCGUCCUAUGUUGCCAGCACGUAAUGGUGGGAACUCAUGGGAUACUGCCGGGGUCAACUCGGAGGAAGGUGGGGAUGACGUCAAAUCAUCAUGCCCCUUAUGUCUUGGGCUUCACGCAUGCUACAAUGGCCGGUACAAAGGGCUGCAAUACCGCAAGGUGGAGCGAAUCCCAAAAAGCCGGUCUCAGUUCGGAUUGAGGUCUGCAACUCGACCUCAUGAAGUCGGAGUCGC